UCUUGGAUAGCUGCUCAACCCGUG
rnacentral:piRNA from 2 species